GUUGAACGCUGGCGGCAGGCCUAACACAUGCAAGUCGAACGGUAACAGGAAGAAGCUUGCUUCUUUGCUGACGAGUGGCGGACGGGUGAGUAAUGUCUGGGAAACUGCCUGAUGGAGGGGGAUAACUACUGGAAACGGUAGCUAAUACCGCAUAACGUCGCAAGACCAAAGAGGGGGACCUUCGGGCCUCUUGCCAUCGGAUGUGCCCAGAUGGGAUUAGCUAGUAGGUGGGGUAACGGCUCACCUAGGCGACGAUCCCUAGCUGGUCUGAGAGGAUGACCAGCCACACUGGAACUGAGACACGGUCCAGACUCCUACGGGAGGCAGCAGUGGGGAAUAUUGCACAAUGGGCGCAAGCCUGAUGCAGCCAUGCCGCGUGUAUGAAGAAGGCCUUCGGGUUGUAAAGUACUUUCAGCGGGGAGGAAGGGAGUAAAGUUAAUACCUUUGCUCAUUGACGUUACCCGCAGAAGAAGCACCGGCUAACUCCAUG
rnacentral:rRNA from 1 species